GCCUUCGUAGCUCAGCUGGUAGAGCGCGUCCUUGGUAAGGACGAGGUCGGCGGUUCAAAUCCGCUCGAAGGCUCCA
rnacentral:tRNA from 1 species